AACAAACGCUGGCGGCGUGCCUAAUACAUGCAAGUCGAACGGGGAAAGCUUUCGGGUGAGUACUAGUGGCGCACGGGUGAGGAACGCGUGGAUAAUCUGCCUUAGAGUGGGGGAUAACUAGUCGAAAGAUUAGCUAAUACCGCAUAAGACCACAGGAGCUGCGGCUCAAGGGGUCAAAGGUUUUUCGCUCUAAGAUGAGUCCGCGUAAGAUUAGCUAGUUGGUGAGGUAACGGCCCACCAAGGCGACGAUCUUUAACUGGUCUGAGAGGAUGAUUAGUCACACUGGAACUGAGACACGGUCCAGACUCCUACGGGAGGCAGCAGUAGGGAAUAUUGCACAAUGGAGGAAACUCUGAUGCAGCGACGCCGCGUGAGUGAUGAAGGCCUUCGGGUCGUAAAGCUCUGUCGCAGGGGAAUAACACAAUGAAUGUACCCUGUAAGAAAGGAUCGGCUAACUUCGUGCCAGCCGCCGCCGUAACAC
rnacentral:rRNA from 1 species